UUUUAACUUCACAUAAGCUUUAAUAAACAAGUGAUUCCUAUUUUUUUAUUUUUAAAUCUGUAACUUUUGUCAUAGUAUCUUCUUGCGGAUGUACAAGCCGGAUGAACAGCCAGAUCAAUGGAAAACUUGGAUAAUGUACCACAACAAACAGCAGGAUUCCACUAGCUGUGGAGUUUUAAUCUUGACGUUUGCCAAGGAGUUCCUACGGACACGAACAAUCAGUGAAGUGAAGACCUCUCCGGAAUAUAUAAGGGAUGCACGACUGGAAAUAGCUUGUGCCUUACUCCAGUCUAAAGAUGCUGUAUGAGUCCCUUCAGGAUGUAGCCCCUUAUUCAAUAGAUCUAAACGCAUGCAAUAAGGUU